UUUGCUCGAACUUACAGUAUAUGACAAAACAUUUGCAAUCAGUCAAUCACAAUCCUGAAGCUCUACAAAGUAUGUAAAAAGUAUAUAAGAAGGAUUCUUCGUUUAGUGUAACGAAAAUAUCGUUUUUCGCCUGUUUUCCUCCGGAACCAAAUAAGUGUGACUCCGCGUACUGUCCAUGAAAUUCUAUUUUGCAUUCAAUAUUUCGUAGCGAAUCCUUUAUUUUCAAUUACGGCCUUCUGGUUUUGUGCAAAUAAAUGUUUUUUAUAUCGAACACCUUCACGAAUAAUGCUCUUAUUUACGAUCCCCUACUGGUCCUCGAAAGCGUUAAGAUUUGACUUUUUGGCGAUGUGCAUUGGGUCGUUAGCUUGUUGAAAUAUACAUUUUAAUGAUAGACUCCUUUCAGUUUUACAUUUUUCAGAAUGUUAUUGUACAUGAAACGGUUCUCAGAUUAUAACAUUGCAUCAACCAUGCUUCACGAUCUUUCGGUAGUACGAACAAAUACAAACAAUAAUACCCCUAGGUCCCAUACAAACAGAUCGCCAAUGUUUGGUUCGCGGAAUGAACAAGUUAGCCUAGCCUAUUCCUACAUUAAUCCUUGACAUGUGAAAAUUCCCGAAAAUGUUCUCAACUGGCAACAUUAUUGUUACUAUGGCUAUGCUAGCUUUGUUAUUUUCAUAUAAACAAUCGUCCAGAUUCAACCCAACGAAAGAUGUUUCGUUUUGAGGGCCUCCAGUAAAAUAAGUAUUUUUAUUACUAAAAUGUUAAGAAAUUGUGAACCUUUUUUCAUUUUUAAAGCCCGAAAACAUUGCCCGAAAUCUUGUCACCUGGAUUGUUUGUUCGUGUGGAAAUUUAUUGGUGAUAAUACAACAUUGCAUAUAUGAAUAUCUACACUUUCGAUAGACACCAAUUAACAGUUCUAGAAGAAUCAUAAAUUGAUGCAUUCUAUGAUUCAUCAAGUCAAGCCACAAUGACUUAAAUCCUCUCUAAUGAAACUCUGAUACGUGGAAACAAUAUGGCUCUGAGAAUUGGAUAAGAAUUCUGCUAUCGUUUGAUUAUUUGGCACUCUAAAAUGCGUUUCAUAAUAAAUGCACUUAUUAUGAA